AUGAGCAGGCACUUACUGGCCACCACGCAGGCGGAGCACCAGGUGAAGGGUAGACUCCUUCUGGAUGUUGUAGUCUGCCAGGGUGCGGCCAUCCUCAAGCUGCUUGCCGGCAAAGAUCAGACGCUGCUGGUCCGGGGGAAUGCCCUCCUUGUCCUGGAUCUUCGCCUUCACAUUGUCAAUGGUGUCCGAGGACUCCACCUCCAGGGUGAUGGUCUUGCCGGUGAGCGUCUUGACGAAAAUCUGCAUGCCUCCACGAAGCCUGAGCACCAGGUGGAGGGUGGACUCCUUCUGGAUGUUGUAGUCAGCCAGGGUGCGGCCAUCCUCGAGCUGCUUGCCGGCAAAGAUGAGGCGCUGCUGGUCCGGGGGGAUUCCCUCCUUGUCCUGGAUCUUGGCCUUCACAUUGUCGAUCGUGUCAGACGACUCGACCUCAAGGGUGAUGGUCUUGCCGGUGAGGGUCUUCACGAAGAUCUGCAUCUGUAA
rnacentral:rRNA from 1 species